rnacentral:rRNA from 1 species
AGAGAGAGACAUGCGCGCAUAUCAAUAAGCGGAGGAAAAGAAACUAACAAGGAUUCCCUUAGUAAUGGCGAGUGGAGCGGGAAGAGCUCAAAUUUGAAAUCUUCAAGGUUUUACCUUGACGAAUUGUAGUUUAAAGAAGUGUUUUCUGUUGGAGUUUUGGUAAAAGUUCUUUGGAAUAGGACAUCAUAGAGGGUGAGUAAUCCCGUAUUUGGACCAUUAUCUUCCAACUGUGUGAUACACUUUCAAAGAGUCGGAUUGUUUGGGAAUGCAGUCCAAAAUGGGUGGUAAAUUUCAUCUAAAGCUAAAUAUUGGCGAGAGACCGAUAGCGAACAAGUACCGUGAGGGAAAGAUGAAAAGAACUUUGAAAAGAGAGUUAAACAGUACGUGAAAUUGUCAAAAGGGAAGCGUUUGACACCAGUGUUGUUUUCUCGAAAAUCAAUUAAAAAAGAUUGGAUUUUGUGUUGUAUUGACUUUAUCAGCUUUCUGCACUCUUUUCUUGUCUUUUUUAAUGCACUUUUCGUUUAACAAGUCAACAUCAAUUUCUUUUGUUGUAAAAGGGUCAUUGGAAGGUGGCUUUCUUUUCGGAGAAAGUGUUUAUAGCCUUUGACUUCUGCAAUCGGAGAGAUUGAGGUCUGCAGCGUAGAUCCUUCGGGGUUAGAUGCAUUUGUGCUAAGUUAUAGCCUUUCAUAGACAACUUGUUGACUAUGAUCAGUCAUGUAGCUUACUCGCUUAUGUCAUUUUACCUACGCUUAGGAUGUUGACAGCAGUAUAGACUGU